GACGAACGCUGGCGGCAUGCCUAACACAUGCAAGUCGAACGAAACCUUCGGGUCUAGUUGCGCUCGUGUGCUUAACGCGUGGUAACCUGCCCUUAGGUUCCGAAUCCCUCCCCGAGAGGUGUGCUAAUACCAGAUAAUCUCUUCGGACCAAAGAUUUAUCGCCUUUGGAUGGGCCCGCGUUGGAUUCGCUAGUUGGUAGUGUAAUAGCCUACCAAGGCCACGAUGCAUAGCUGGUCGGAGAGGAUGACCAGCCACACUGGGACUGAGACACGGCCUAGAAUCCGACGGGAGGGAGCAGUGGGGAAUAUUGGACAAGGGGCGAAAGCCUGAUCAAGCAAUGCGGGGUGAGAGAUGAAGGGGUUAGGGUUGUAAAGCUCUUUUACACGGGAUGAUAAUGACAGUACCGGGAGAAUAAGCACCGGCUAACUACGUG
rnacentral:rRNA from 1 species